GGCCAGAAAAAAACUCUUCACCGGGUCCGGGGUUGCUCUCCUCGCGGUUUGAAGUACCUGUUGUCGAAAGUGACUCUCAUUAGCAGCAUGACAAACACAGGAAGAUAGGAAGCUCAUCAAACUAGGUGUUUCAAGUAAAAUAGUUGAAAAUAAGACCAUAUGCAAGGGGGUGGGUUCUGAUACCCUUUGGCUGAAUUUAAAUCCCCGACCUAUUUGCCUUAAGCCCACUAGUUAAUAUCGUGAACUUUAGUUUCCUCAGAAUUUAUAAAAUGGGGUAACAAUAACACCUACCUCAAAGGGUUGUUCCCAGGAUCAGUGAGACAACUCAUUUUACAAGUUUAGCAUGACUGGAUUAAGGAAAACGCUUAUUUUAUUUAGUUAAAAUUAAAUUAUACUGUAUUCAAAAUAUUGAAGAAUAUCAAUAAAAUAAAGCUCUCUUCACCUUUCUGUGUGCUCUCUUGAGUUCUGCUAUACAGAGAAUUGCACGUAACUAUAGUUUAUUUUUGUUGUGCUUCUGUAAGUGAUGGCGGUGGGGAAGACAAAUUCAUCUUUUCCUGUGAAUGCUCUUUCUUCAUGAAUGUGACAGUACAGAAAGAGUUCAGUGGCCCGUCCUGCAAGCAGAAGGACCCAAGUUCAAUCCCCGGUAUUCGGAAGAAAAAAAAAAAAAUGCGCACACAGAAAAAAAACAGUGUGGUGCUCACAGGCUGCUUCACCUCCCUGAUUCUAAAGAGAGAACACAGCUCGAGGCACCUACCUACUCUUUGGGUCCGGCUGCCCUCCGGCCUGGCACUUCGCUCUUCCUGCCUCCCGGAAAGUGUGAACACAGCACGCAGGGUCGCGCGGGGCAUGACGGAGGGCGUGGGGUCGCGGGCUCAGGGAGACUGACGAGGAGUCAUUGA
rnacentral:lncRNA from 1 species